UACGUAGGGUGCAAGCGUUGUCCGGAAUUAUUGGGCGUAAAGAGCUCGUAGGCGGUUUGUUGCGUCGGCUGUGAAAUCCCGAGGCUCAACCUCGGGUCUGCAGUCGAUACGAGCAAACUAGAGUGUUGCAGGGGAGACUGGAAUUCCAGGUGUAGCGGUGAAAUGCGUAGAUAUCUGGAGGAAUACCGGUGGCGAAGGCGGCAUCCUGGACCGGCAUUGACGCUGAGUGAGCGAAAGCUAGGGGAGCAAACGGG
rnacentral:rRNA from 1 species